UGACUAGAUCCUACACUCGUCC
rnacentral:miRNA from 1 species